rnacentral:rRNA from 1 species
AUUGAACGCUGGCGGCGGGCCUAACACAUGCAAGUCGAGCGGAUGAAGGGAGCUUGCUCCUGGAUUCAGCGGCGGACGGGUGAGUAAUGCCUAGGAAUCUGCCUGGUAGUGGGGGAUAACGUCCGGAAACGGGCGCUAAUACCGCAUACGUCCUGAGGGAGAAAGUGGGGGAUCUUCGGACCUCACGCUAUCAGGUGAGCCUAGGUCGGAUUAGCUAGUUGGUGGGGUAAAGGCCUACCAAGGCGACGAUCCGUAACUGGUCUGAGAGGAUGAUCAGUCACACUGGAACUGAGACACGGUCCAGACUCCUACGGGAGGCAGCAGUGGGGAAUAUUGGACAAUGGGCGAAAGCCUGAUCCAGCCAUGCCGCGUGUGUGAAGAAGGUCUUCGGAUUGUAAAGCACUUUAAGUUGGGAGGAAGGGCAGCAAGUUAAUACCUUGCUGUUUUGACGUUACCAACAGAAUAAGCACCGGCUAACUUCGUG